rnacentral:rRNA from 1 species
CAGGUUUACCUGUGUGACUGCGUACCUUUUGUAUAAUGGGUCAGCGACUUAUAUUCUGUAGCAAGGUUAACCGAAUAGGGGAGCCGGAGGGAAACCGAGUCUUAAUUGGGCGUUAAGUUGCAGGGUAUAGACCCGAAACCCGGUGAUCUAGCCAUGGGCAGGUUGAAGGUUGGGUAACACUAACUGGAGGACCGAACCGACUAAUGUUGAAAAAUUAGCGGAUGACCUGUGGCUGGGGGUGAAAGGCCAAUCAAACCGGGAGAUAGCUGGUUCUCCCCGAAAGCUAUUUAGGUAGCGCCUCGUGAAUUCAUCUCCGGGGGUAGAGCACUGUUUCGGCUAGGGGGCCAUCCCGGCUUACCAACCCGAUGCAAACUGCGAAUACCGGAGAAUGUUAUCACGGGAGACACACGGCGGGUGCUAACGUCCGUCGUGAAGAGGGAAACAACCCAGACCGCCAGCUAAGGUCCCAAAGUCAUGGUUAAGUGGGAAACGAUGUGGGAAGGCCCAGACAGCCAGGAUGUUGGCUUAGAAGCAGCCAUCAUUUAAAGAAAGCGUAAUAGCUCACUGGUCGAGUCGGCCUGCGCGGAAGAUGUAACGGGGCUAAACCAUGCACCGAAGCUGCGGCAGCGACGCUUAUGCGUUGUUGGGUAGGGGAGCGUUCUGUAAGCCUGCGAAGGUGGCCUGUGAGGGUUGCUGGAGGUAUCAGAAGUGCGAAUGCUGACAUAAGUAACGAUAAAGCGGGUGAAAAGCCCGCUCGCCGGAAGACCAAGGGUUCCUGUCCAACGUUAAUCGGGGCAGGGUGAGUCGACCCCUAAGGCGAGGCCGAAAGGCGUAGUCGAUGGGAAACGGGUUAAUAUUCCCGUACUUGGUGUUACUGCGAAGGGGGGACGGAGAAGGCUAUGUUGGCCGGGCGACGGUUGUCCCGGUUUAAGCGUGUAGGUGUGUGUUCCAGGUAAAUCCGGUUCACUUUAACACUGAGGCGUGACGACGAGGCACUACGGUGCUGAAGCAACAAAUGCCCUGCUUCCAGGAAAAGCCUCUAAGCAUCAGGUAACAUCAAAUCGUACCCCAAACCGACACAGGUGGUCAGGUAGAGAAUACCAAGGCGCUUGAGAGAACUCGGGUGAAGGAACUAGGCAAAAUGGUGCCGUAACUUCGGGAGAAGGCACGCUGACACGUAGGUGAAGUGAUUUACUCAUGGAGCUGAAGUCAGUCGAAGAUACCAGCUGGCUGCAACUGUUUAUUAAAAACACAGCACUGUGCAAACACGAAAGUGGACGUAUACGGUGUGACGCCUGCCCGGUGCCGGAAGGUUAAUUGAUGGGGUCAGCGCAAGCGAAGCUCCUGAUCGAAGCCCCGGUAAACGGCGGCCGUAACUAUAACGGUCCUAAGGUAGCGAAAUUCCUUGUCGGGUAAGUUCCGACCUGCACGAAUGGCGUAAUGAUGGCCAGGCUGUCUCCACCCGAGACUCAGUGAAAUUGAACUCGCUGUGAAGAUGCAGUGUACCCGCGGCAAGACGGAAAGACCCCGUGAACCUUUACUAUAGCUUGACACUGAACAUUGAGCCUUGAUGUGUAGGAUAGGUGGGAGGCUUUGAAGUGUGGACGCCAGUCUGCAUGGAGCCGACCUUGAAAUACCACCCUUUAAUGUUUGAUGUUCUAACGUGGACCCGUUACCCGGGUUGCGGACAGUGUCUGGUGGGUAGUUUGACUGGGGCGGUCUCCUCCUAAAGAGUAACGGAGGAGCACGAAGGUUGGCUAAUCCUGGUCGGACAUCAGGAGGUUAGUGCAAUGGCAUAAGCCAGCUUGACUGCGAGCGUGACGGCGCGAGCAGGUGCGAAAGCAGGUCAUAGUGAUCCGGUGGUUCUGAAUGGAAGGGCCAUCGCUCAACGGAUAAAAGGUACUCCGGGGAUAACAGGCUGAUACCGCCCAAGAGUUCAUAUCGACGGCGGUGUUUGGCACCUCGAUGUCGGCUCAUCACAUCCUGGGGCUGAAGUAGGUCCCAAGGGUAUGGCUGUUCGCCAUUUAAAGUGGUACGCGAGCUGGGUUUAGAACGUCGUGAGACAGUUCGGUCCCUAUCUGCCGUGGGCGCUGGAGAACUGAGGGGGGCUGCUCCUAGUACGAGAGGACCGGAGUGGACGCAUCACUGGUGUUCGGGUUGUCAUGCCAAUGGCACUGCCCGGUAGCUAAAUGCGGAAGAGAUAAGUGCUGAAAGCAUCUAAGCACGAAACUUGCCCCGAGAUGAGUUCUCCCUGAGACUUAGAGUCUCCUGAAGGAACGUUGAAGACGACGACGUUGAUAGGCCGGGUGUGUAAGCGCAGCGAUGCGUUGAGCUAACCGGUACUAAUGAACCGUGAGGCUUAACCUUACAACGCCGAAG